UGGGGAAUAUUGCACNUUGGGCGAAAGCCUGAUGCAGCAACGCCGCGUGAACGAUGAAGGUCUUCGGAUCGUAAAGUUCUGUUGCAGGGGAAGAUAAUGACGGUACCCUGUGAGGAAGCCCCGGCUAACUACGUGCCAGCAGCCGCGGUAAUACGUAGGGGGCUAGCGUUAUCCGGAUUUACUGGGCGUAAAGGGUGCGUAGGUGGUCCUUCAAGUCGGUGGUUAAAGGCUACGGCUCAACCGUAGUAAGCCGCCGAAACUGGAGGACUUGAGUGCAGGAGAGGAAAGUGGAAUUCCCAGUGUAGCGGUGAAAUGCGUAGAUAUUGGGAGGAACACCAGUAGCGAAGGCGGCUUUCUGGACUGCAACUGACACUGAGGCACGAAAGCGUGGGUAGCAAACAGGAUUAGAUACCCUGGUAGUCCACGCUGUAAACGAUGAGUACUAGGUGUCGGGGGUUACCCCCCUCGGUGCCGCAGCUAACGCAUUAAGUACUCCGCCUGGGGAGUACGCACGCAAGUGUGA
rnacentral:rRNA from 1 species